GACGAACGCUGGCGGCGUGCUUAACACAUGCAAGUCGAACGAAGUGGCGAACGGGUGAGUAACGCGUAAUCAACCUGCCCUUCCGAGGGGAACAACAGUUGGAAACGACUGCUAAUACAGAAUACUGAAGGAGGGGAAUGCGUCUGAUGGGCUAGUUGGGGGGGUAACGGCCCACCAAGGCGAUGAUAAGUAGCCGGUCUUAGAGGAUGACCGGCCACAUUGGGACUGAGACACGGCCCAGACUCCUACGGGAGGCAGCAGUGGGGAAUCUUCCGCAAUGGACGAAAGGCUGACGGAGCAACUCCGCGUGAGUGAUGACGGCCUUCGGGUUGUAAAGCUCUGUUAAUCGGGACGCGGUACCGGAAUAGAAAGCCACGGCUAACUACGUGCCAGCAGCCGCGGUAAUUC
rnacentral:rRNA from 1 species